ensembl:ncRNA H22K11.12 ncRNA
AGGUACUCUCGAGGCGUGUCCACCACAAAACAGCUCUUCGGACACUUGCCUGAUACCCUCUUGCAAUUGUCUGCUACCUUUUCUUCCCUCCUUUUCCACCCCAUAGUGCCCCUCGACAACGCUAAUUGUAUCAUCGUUGAUCG